GUAAGGCUUGAAAAAUCAUUCCGGACCGAGCAUGAUUGAUACACUCGAAGGGGAAUGUUGUGUUGAAGACGCUCUCAAAAUGGAAGCUUGGAAGAACUGCAGAAUGCAAGCUUGUGCUGAAGAAGCAAGAAAACAAUUGCCCACACAAAUGGCAAAGGGGGUGAUUGUUGGGAUAUUGUCAUUUAGUGGCAAUACCCCACCACUAAUUGUGGCUUAGUGGAAGCAUCACUAAUGCCACAAUUAGUGGCAUGAUUUCGGGACCUAUUGUCCCCUU
rnacentral:lncRNA from 1 species